AGUGACUUGAAGGCAUAUACAUACACACGAAUGAUGUGGCAGGUAUGAGAUUCCCCUUCUAUUCCCUGUGUAAGAAUGAGAGAAGGGACACAAUCUAUGGGACAAAGGACCUCCCUGGACCUCAGCGGGAUCUAGCUCCGGGGGUCUCAGUUAUCAUGAGACUAAGAUCCAGGAUGAAACUGUGAUUACAAUCCCAUCAACCAAUAUACAU
rnacentral:lncRNA from 11 species